rnacentral:rRNA from 1 species
CUCGAGUGCCAGGUUACAAAUCUGGCUGUCGUGAUGCCUAAAAAGCAUUGCAUAGCAAGGGCCGGGCAAGACCGGUGCCAGCCGCCGCGGUAACACCGGCGGCUCGAGUGGUAACCGUUAUUAUUGGGUCUAAAGGGUCUGUAGCCGGCCGGAUAAGUCUCUUGAGAAAUCCAGCAGCUCAACUGUUGGGCUUUCAGGAGAUACUGUCUGGCUCGAGGCCGGGAGAGGUGAGAGGUACUUCAGGGGUAGGGGUGAAAUCUUGUAAUCCUUGAAGGACCACCAGUGGCGAAGGCGUCUCACCAGAACGGACCUGACGGCAAGGGACGAAAGCUAGGGGCACGAACCGGAUUAGAUACCCGGGUAGUCCUAGCCGUAAACGAUACUCGCUAGGUGUCGGCCACGGUGCGACCGUUGUCGGUGCCGUAGGGAAGCCGUGAAGCGAGCCACCUGGGAAGUACGGCCGCAAGGCUGAAACUUAAAGGAAUUGGCGGGGGAGCACCACAACGGGUGGAGCUUGCGGU